CACAUCAUCACAAGAUUCCGAAUUCAACGGAAUCUACUACAUACUAUCAAUCCGGAUCCCGAAACACUAUUCGGAGGACACCUCCAAUCGGAUAAUUCGUAAAUCUGGAAGUUAUUUCAAUGCCUUGCAGCCGUUAGGUCUCUCUGAGUCUGAUAUUAACCAAUGGUUCUUCAGAGUAUAAGGGUAUUCCAAAGCCUAGUAAAACGGAAUUCAUGGCAGUGAGAAACAAUGACAAUUUAAACUAUUUUAAAGACCAUUUCAAAGCAACAAAAUAAAUUCGUUAAUGUGUGUAUAUUUGCAACUACCACAUGUACAUGCACCGUAAAUAUUUUUAAGUAUUCCGAAGAAUCAGGACAUGUGUAUAACGAACAACGAUCUUGUAUGAUUGUCAGUUUUGUGUUCAGUUUUAGCGCAGGCAAAUAUUAGCCUUUAACCCUUUUAACCCAGUAGAGAAGCAGAAAAAUAUGCCUAGUAAUAGUAUUCAGCAAGGAAGCGGUGUUAUGGUUAAGCAUCUAUCAUAUGUAAUAGUCGCUUUUUAAUAUGUGAUCCUUUUUUCAAUUUUAUGACAAAACAUUUCUUUUCAAAGUGAAUUACUCAUACUGAAACACCGACAUAACAUGAUUUCUAACUGUCAACGACAACAGCAUAAGGCUGCAUCUUCCGAUUCUUCAAACCAUGAGAUAUGACAUUUACUGUGUUACAUACUGAAGGAACUGACAGUGAGCAUUGGCAAUCUGACCAGUUGCUGUCGGUUGUGUCUGAGACAUUUGUCAAAAGAGAUCAGUGUCGAAAUGAUAUGUGGAACAUCGUGAAAAAUGAAAAUGGAAAUGGUGGUGCUUAAGAUUCUUCUAUUUUGUGUGUGUUUGUGACGUUUAUCUUUUCGUGAUCACAUGGUAUCAUCACUAUGUGACAAUGGUUGACACGCACUUUUCCUUAAGUGGAGAUUACAUGUGUCAAUGAAACUUUUCUGAAACAGUGUGGGUUAACCAGUGUACUUCCUUCUUUGGUUGACCUUUGACCGGCUCAUGCGAACACCAUAUAGCACACUCCUAUUGCGUUGUAAAGUUCUUUUUCGUUUGCAAGUGCACGUUGACUCAUGAGUAUAAUGAUUCAAGUAUGUUUGUUUAAAAUCAAUAGUGGGUCUUAAACAUUUAAUGUGUACACGUGUCAUAACCGUAACUGGAGAUGUCAGUUUGCGUUCGUGUAAAGGGAACCCUAUAUAAGACAGAAAAUGCGGUAACAAAAUGUCCAUGAUCACAGGAGAUCUCUAUUCGUCCGACCAUAUCAUAAGCAUGUACGUAUGAACCUCUGUCAAAUAGUGAUGAUACCAGGUCAAAAUGAUAUGGUAAGGUCAUAAAUGGAUAGUCAUAAUUGUUUCUUUCGAUUUCAGAUUUAUUUUACCCCUUAGCAUAAUAUUGUUUAAACGUCACAAUCUAAAACUCUAUCAAUACACUUCAUAAUGACGCCAUUGUUAAUCCUUAUCAAAUCAUAAUAAUGUGGUAAAUAUGAACGAGUGACUUUAUAUCGGUUCUUCCUUCUUGUAUGGUGAAGAAAUAAACUAUUGGAUGACAGCCCUAGCUGAUAAAGAAAUUAGGCCUCCAGUCACUGCACGUCAAUAGUCCUCGUGUCUUUAAAAUGUCAAUAGCAACCACCCCUCUGAACCCCCGCCCCCUGUCAGGGGUGCACGAAUGUUAUCAGCAAACACUAAUGCAUGCAGUAUGAACACUACCUCACUGUCAACUAGAAACAGCGUCUUGCCAGUCCUCGUGCUAUGGGGGCUACAAGGAGAUAUUCUGUGUCCUAUUUCAUCUUGCUAUUUAUUUUGCCAGCUGCAGCCGGUUUGUAUUGCUACCAAUGUGGUAGCACUGGAAACGAAGGAUUUUGUAAAACGGAAAUCAAAACGUUGAUAAAAUCGGCCGACGACAUUGUCCUUAGACUUCAGAACAGCACUGCAGAUGCAACAGUAGACGAUACAGACUCAUCCGGAAGGACUACGCCCAAUAUUAAGAAAUGUGCCAACUUCAGGAAUGUGUGUUUAAUCGAAACUGUUGAGAAUGCACAAACAUCUCAAGUUCUCAGCUACAUCCGGGAUUGUUCCGAUGGGAAGACGUUUUCGUUCGGAAACCUUACCAUGCUGCAAGGUAUUCAGAGCAACAACUACACAACCUGCGGCUACGACACCCGAGGAUACAUGAGCUGUAUCACAACCUGCUCAGAAAACUUCUGCAAUGGACCAAAGGCCGAUGCCACCAUGCCAACAAUAUGGGUUCCUCUUGCGUUCCUUUGGAGUAUCAUCAGAUUCAUGUUUUUGUAGUGACGUCGAAGUAUCACAAGCUAAAAGAUGUUGCAAUUACUCAGCUGUUGCACGGAUUCUACUAUAGUGAAUACCCUAUCAAUCCGGAUCCCGACACGCUAUUCACGGGACACCUCCAUUCGGAUAAUCCGUAAAACUGGAAGUUAUUUCAAUCCAGACAAUGUGUCUUGCAGCCAUCAGGUCUCGCUGAGUCUGAUACUGGCCUUUGAUCCUUUCGAGUAUAAGCGUGUAUUACUAUGAAUAACCAAGGAAACUAGAAUCCCUGGCCGCGAGAAGCAUCGACAAUUUAAACUAAGUUAUAAAGAUCAUAUACAUGCUACAGAAUAUAUUCAUUAAUUUGUGUAAAUUUGCAAUUACCACAUGUACGUGCACCAUGAAUAUUGUUUUAGUAUUCCGAAGAAUCACGAAAUGUGUAUACCGAACAACGGUUAUAACGAACUAAAAUUUGUGGUCCCUAUGUGUUCAUUAUAACUGUAGUCUACUGUAUCCAGUAUGAGCUCAUGAUUCUGUGUGCCUCUAAUCUGCCAUAACAAUCGCGGAGGCGGUCCGGUAGCCCAGUGGUUAAAGCGUUUGCUCGCCACGCUGAAGACCCGGGUUUGAUUCCCAACAUGGGUACAAUGUGUGAAGUCCAUAUCUGGUGUCCCCGCCGUUAUAUUGCUGGAUUAUUGCUAAAAAACGACGUAAAACCAAACGCACUCACUAACAAUCCCAAAUUAUGAAAUGCUGGCGAAUUAUUCCAGGACAAUGCCCAUAUGUAUAAAGAUAUGUUGACGCCUCAAUCAGCAGUAUUCCAGCUGUAUGGUGGCGGUCUGUAAUUAAUCGCAUCUGGUGGACCAGACAAUUUUGUGCUUGGCAUCAUGAGCUUCGACAACGCAAUUGCGAUUCGAUGACAUUUAUCAACCAAGCCAGCAAGCCUGACCACCCGAUUCCGUUAGUCGUCUCUUUCGACAAGCAUGGGUUGGUGUAAGCCAAUUCUAACCCUGAUCUUCAGUAAUUUAUGUAUAUAGAUGUAUAUAGAUGUAAUAUACCUAAUGCAUGAAGUAAUUGCAUAAUGUCUGGUGUGUUUGGAAAUUGGGAUGAUAUUGCAUGAUGUCAUACAGGCUUGUAUGAAUGUGAUUUUUGUGUUCAGUUUUAGCGCAAGCAAAUAUGAUCCUUUAACCCUUUUAAUCCAGUAGAGAAGCAGUAACAUAUGUCUUGUAAUAGUAUUCAGCAUGGAAGCAGUGUCAUGUUCAAGCAUCUAUCAUAUGUAAUAGUCGCAGUUUAAAAUGUGAUUUCUUUUCAAUUUAUAACAAAAUAUUAAUGGUGUACUCAUACUGAAACACAGAAAUAACGUUAUUUCUAAUUGUCGACAGCAACAGCAUUCAGUUGCAUCUUCCGAUUCUUCAAACCAUGAGAUAUGACAUUUUCUUUGUUACAUCUGAAAGAACUGGGAGUCAACUGGUGCAACCUGUCGAGUUGGUUGGUUGUGUCUGAGACAUUUGUCAAAAAGAGAUCAGUGUCCAAAUGAUAUAUUGAUGUCGUGAAAUAUGAAAAUGGAAAGGGGAUGGUCAGGAUUGUUUUCCAUCUCUGUUUGCAUGUGUGUAUGGGUACUUGUGUCAGUGAGCAUGUGUGUGUAUAGGUACUUGUGUCAGUGAGCAUGUGUGUGUGCAUGGGUACUUGUGUCAGUGAGCAUGUGUGUGUAUAGGUACAUGUGUCAGUGAGCAUGUGUGUGUAUAGGUACUUGUGUCCAGUGAGCAUGUCUGUGUAUGGGUACUUGUGUCAGUGAGCAUGUCUGUGUAUAGGUACUUGUGUCAGUGAGCAUGUGUGUGUGCAUGGGUACUUGUGUCAGUGAGCAUGUGUGUGUAUAGGUACUUGUGUCAGUGAGCAUGUGUGUGUGCAUGGGUACUUGUGUCAGUGAGCAUGUGUGUGUAUGGGUACUUGUGUCAGUGAGCAUGUGUGUGUAUGGGUACUUGUGUCAGUGAGCAUGUGUGUGUAUGGGUACUUGUGUCAGUGAGCAUGUGUGUUUGUACCUCUUUGUGUCAGUGAGCAUGUGUGUAUGGGUACUUGUGUCAGUGAGCAUGUGUGUGUAUGGGUUCUUGUGUCAGUGAGCAUGUGUGGGGGGAUACUUGUGUCAGUGAGCAUGUGAGUGUGUAUGUGUGCGUCCGUGGAUGCGUGUGAUUGUGUGUGUGUGUCCGCUUGUGUGUAUGUGUGUGUAUGUUCGCAGAGGUUCUUGCAGCAACACCACAACAUUUAGAAGAAACAGAAGAAGGGUUUAUUUUGUAUUAAUGCCAUACAACCCAUCGUACAAGGUGGUACAAUAGUGGUUUUAGUUACCAUUUUCACACAACAACGUUAACAGGAGCAGAAUAAACAUGUUCUAAGAA